AUUGAACGCUGGCGGCAGGCCUAACACAUGCAAGUCGAGCGGAUGAGUGGAGCUUGCUCCAUGAUUCAGCGGCGGACGGGUGAGUAAUGCCUAGGAAUCUGCCUGGUAGUGGGGGACAACGUUUCGAAAGGAACGCUAAUACCGCAUACGUCCUACGGGAGAAAGCAGGGGACCUUCGGGCCUUGCGCUAUCAGAUGAGCCUAGGUCGGAUUAGCUAGUUGGUGAGGUAAAGGCUCACCAAGGCGACGAUCCGUAACUGGUCUGAGAGGAUGAUCAGUCACACUGGAACUGAGACACGGUCCAGACUCCUACGGGAGGCAGCAGUGGGGAAUAUUGGACAAUGGGCGAAAGCCUGAUCCAGCCAUGCCGCGUGUGUGAAGAAGGUCUUCGGAUUGUAAAGCACUUUAAGUUGGGAGGAAGGGCAGUAAGUUAAUACCUUGCUAUUUUGACGUUACCGACAGAAUAAGCACCGGCUAACUUCGUGCCAGCAGCCGCGGUAAUAC
rnacentral:rRNA from 1 species